rnacentral:rRNA from 1 species
GUGCCAGCAGCCGCGGUAAAACGUAGGAGGCGAGCGUUAUCCGGAGUUACUGGGCGUAAAGCGCAUGUAGGCGGUUGGAUAAGUUGCGUGUGAAAGCUCCUGGCUAAACUAGGAGAGGACAGGCAAGACUGUUCGGCUAGAGGGUGGUAGAGGGGCACAGAAUUCGGGGUGUAGCGGUGAAAUGUGUAGAGAUCCCGAGGAAUACCAGUGGUGAAGACGGUGCCCUGGGCCAUACCUGACGCUGAGAUGCGAAAGCGUGGGGAGCGAACGGGAUUAGAUACCCCAGUAGUCC